rnacentral:misc_RNA from 1 species
GAUGAAGAACGCAGCGAAAUGCGAUAAGUAGUGUGAAUUGCAGAAUUCAGUGAAUCAUCGAAUCUUUGAACGCACAUUGCGCCCCUUGGUAUUCCAUGGGGCAUGCCUGUUCGAGCGUCAUUUGUACCUUCAAGCUUUGCUUGGUGUUGGGUGUUUGUCUCGCCUUUGCGUGUAGACUCGCCUUAAAAUAAUUGGCAGCCGGCGUAUUGAUUUCGGAGCGCAGUACAUCUCGCGCUUUGCACUCAUAACGACAGCGUCCAAAAGUACAUUUUACACUCUUGACCUCGGAUCAGGUAGGGAUACCCGCUGAACUUAAGCAUAUCAAUAAGCGGAUGA